rnacentral:lncRNA from 1 species
ACAGCUCAUGACCGUGAUCUGAAAAAAUACAUUUUCUUUCCAGAAUACAGAAGUAAUCAGAAUUUAUUCACGUGGGCUGACUGAGAGUUUUGACAUCAAAGGGCAAUCCUGUCUGAUUGAUACCACUCAAAUGGCAAUGUUGUUUGAAGAAAUGUAGUUAGAGAGAUGACAAUUUAAAGGCUGUAAGAAGUUACGGGAAAAGAUUCUGUGAAUAGAGACUCUCAAGUACUCCUGUAUCCUUGGCACCAAAGAGGGCUCUCCAGACAGAAAGUUGCCUGCAUGUCUCGGUGCUUGAGAAUGAUACUGCUCUUCACUGCUCUGUCCCCAGAAAUCCAGCAUUGCCUAUGGCAUACCUUCGGAGGAAAGCCUUUGGGGGGCCUGUCUAGACCCACAGGAGGAAGCAAUAUCUCCAGACCUUGGAAAAAG